CUGUCACGUGACUAAUCGGAGGCUGCGGGGUUUUUUCCUGCACGACAGAUUCGAGUGAGGGCGGGCAAGGGAGAGUGAAGCGGCUGAGCGUAGAGGCGGGGCGGGGAUCGUGCCGUGGGGAGGGCGGAAUCUGUUGUCCCCGACUGGUGCCUUAUUUACCUCCACGGCUACUCGUCCAGGCCAAGAUGGCGUCGGUGUGGGAUGAGGCUGAGGACGGCGUGGGCGAGGAGGUGCUGAAAAUGUCCACGGAGGAGAUUGUGCAGCGAACCCGCCUGCUCGACAGCGAGAUCAAGAUAAUGAAGAGCGAGGUGCUGAGAGUUACCCAUGAACUGCAGGCCAUGAAAGAUAAGAUCAAAGAGAACAGUGAGAAGAUCAAAGUGAACAAAACCCUGCCUUACCUCGUUUCCAAUGUCAUCGAGCUACUUGAUGUUGACCCCAAUGACCAGGAAGAGGAUGGAGCAAAUAUUGAUCUGGAUUCCCAGAGGAAGGGCAAGUGUGCUGUGAUUAAAACCUCCACACGCCAGACAUAUUUCCUGCCCGUGAUCGGGUUGGUUGAUGCAGAGAAGCUAAAGCCUGGAGACCUAGUGGGUGUGAACAAGGACUCUUACUUGAUCCUGGAGACCCUACCUACUGAAUAUGAUUCACGAGUGAAAGCCAUGGAGGUGGAUGAGAGGCCCACAGAGCAGUACAGCGACAUCGGUGGGCUGGAUAAACAGAUCCAAGAGCUGGUGGAGGCCAUUGUCCUACCAAUGAAUCAUAAGGAGAAGUUUGAAAACCUGGGUAUCCAGCCCCCCAAAGGAGUGCUCAUGUAUGGGCCACCUGGAACAGGGAAGACCCUCUUAGCUAGAGCAUGUGCUGCCCAGACAAAGGCAACAUUCCUGAAGCUGGCUGGCCCACAAUUGGUACAGAUGUUCAUUGGAGAUGGAGCCAAGCUGGUGCGAGAUGCCUUUGCACUGGCCAAGGAGAAAGCUCCUUCUAUCAUCUUCAUUGAUGAGCUGGAUGCCAUUGGCACCAAGAGAUUUGACAGCGAGAAGGCUGGCGACCGGGAAGUGCAGAGGACCAUGCUGGAGCUUCUGAACCAACUUGAUGGAUUCCAACCCAACACACAAGUCAAGGUGAUUGCUGCAACCAACCGUGUGGAUAUCCUGGACCCUGCUCUGCUCCGGUCUGGACGCCUAGAUCGUAAGAUUGAGUUCCCGAUGCCCAAUGAGGAGGCCAGAGCUAGGAUUAUGCAGAUCCAUUCACGCAAGAUGAAUGUCAGCCCUGAUGUGAAUUACGAGGAGCUGGCUCGCUGUACAGAUGACUUCAAUGGAGCACAGUGCAAGGCUGUGUGUGUGGAAGCGGGGAUGAUCGCACUUCGGCGUGGAGCCACAGAGCUCACCCAUGAGGACUACAUGGAAGGAAUCCUGGAGGUUCAGGCCAAGAAAAAAGCCAAUCUGCAAUACUAUGCCUAAUCUCUACACUGCAAUCAGCAUCCAUGUGCAGCACCUCUAUGAACAUGCAGAUGUGUGAGGCUACAGCAUGAUCUCAGUCAUGUUGCAUUAAUUGCAUAAAAAGUCACCUCUGCUUGUGCUGGAACAAGAGUCACAGCUGCACAUUAGAGAGGAUUCAGAGAUGAAAUCCAGCUCCACAGUGAGUCAUUCCAUCUUCUGUCGUACAGGGACUAUGGGGACUUGAACCACAGCUGGAGGACACAAUCAAAAACUACCGGAACAUUUGGUUUUUGCUAUUUAUUUUCAUUUUGUGCCUAAGUCAAAGAGCUUCUCCUCCCACCCCUCACUCAUCCAUGUUAAUAAAUCUCUCUUGGAUCAGUAAAUCAUGCUCUUUAGAACAGAAUUUUUGUUGUAUCCCACCUCGUAACUACUCUCUGUAGAUUGUCUAUCUGGAUUGUAAGCACAUUGGGACAGGGGCUGUCUUCAUACCCGUCUAAGUCAGACAGCACACUGUUUGCACUAUCAGAAUAAAAUAUUAUAAUGUUCAAACAA